rnacentral:rRNA from 1 species
UGGGGAAUAUUGGACAAUGGGCGAAAGCCUGAUCCAGCCAUGCCGCGUGUGUGAAGAAGGUCUUCGGAUUGUAAAGCACUUUAAGUUGGGAGGAAGGGCAGUUACCUAAUACGUGAUUGUUUUGACGUUACCGACAGAAUAAGCACCGGCUAACUCUGUGCCAGCAGCCGCGGUAAUACAGAGGGUGCAAGCGUUAAUCGGAAUUACUGGGCGUAAAGCGCGCGUAGGUGGUUAGUUAAGUUGGAUGUGAAAUCCCCGGGCUCAACCUGGGAACUGCAUUCAAAACUGACUGACUAGAGUAUGGUAGAGGGUGGUGGAAUUUCCUGUGUAGCGGUGAAAUGCGUAGAUAUAGGAAGGAACACCAGUGGCGAAGGCGACCACCUGGACUGAUACUGACACUGAGGUGCGAAAGCGUGGGGAGCAAACAGGAUUAGAUACCCCUGUAGUCCCUGAGCGGGCUGGCAAGGCG